UACGUAGGGACCGAGCGUUGUCCGGAUUCAUUGGGCGUAAAGAGCUCGUAGGCGGCCACUCAAGUCGAAUGUGAAACCUCGAGGCUUAACCUCGAGCCUGCAUUCGAUACUGGGCGGCUAGAGUCUGGUAGGGGGAGUCUGGAAUUCCUGGUGUAGCGGUGGAAUGCGCAGAUAUCAGGAGGAACACCGGUGGCGAAGGCGGGAUCCUGGGCCAGUACUGACGCUGAGGAGCGAAAGCGUGGGGAGCGAACAGGA
rnacentral:rRNA from 1 species